rfam:Danio rerio chromosome 4, GRCz11 reference primary assembly.
GCCCGGCUAGCUCAGUCGGUAGAGCAUCAGACUCUUAACUUAGGUGUCUGGGUUAGGUCCCCAUGUUGGGCA